rnacentral:misc_RNA from 1 species
AAGUCGUAACAAGGUUUCCGUAGGUGAACCUGCGGAAGGAUCAAUACAAAACGGAUGGCUGGCCGGUGGCGGUCCGCGGGCUCUGCGUCUGCGGGUCGCACACGGCGGCCACAUGUGCCCGGACCGACGGUCCGCGACAUUUGCGCAUGUAGAGUUUGACAGAGUGGUUGGCGUCGAAGAAACAACUUUUAACAAUGGAUCUCUUGGCUCCU